UGUCUGGCAAAUUUCCCAUAUAUCUUAUCAACUACUAUUCUAUACAAAGAAAGAUAACUCCAAUUGAAAAUUAAUUGCUAUUGCACAAUAUUGUGCAAUUAGAUAUUUCUUCCUAUUGUGCAAUACUGUGCAAUUGAAAAUUUCUUGCUAUUGCACAAUACUUGAUAUGGAAUCCUGAUUUGGACCAACUUGAAAACUGGCCCAUAAUCAAAAAAUCAAA
rnacentral:lncRNA from 1 species